UGGCAGAGGUCAUCUUUGCGAUAACAUCAAGCACCAAAGAUGCAUGUGGGAAACCUCCGACCGAGCGGCUCUUCCUCGACAAGUAUGGGAGGAUAUGCCUAUCGCUUGAUGAAAUUGUUUGGCAGGGCAUGCUGGAAAAUACAGAGAAGGAGAGAAUCAAACGGUUGAUAAGGAUGAAACCUCCAGCUGAUGUGUGACUUGCUGGCUUCUGAUUCAUUUACUCAGCAUUAUCUAUAUUUCUGUAAAAGUUCACCGAUGAGCAUCAGCUUCUCACUCAAGCUUCACUGAUUUGAUCGUUCUGUGUUUAUGUGACACAUGCGACCAUAGUUGUUGAUAUUUCUAAAAAAAAAAAGAGAAAAUUUUUCUUGAGUUA